CACGGGGGGAGCAAGCGUUGUUCGGAGUCACUGGGCGUAAAGGGCGUGUAGGCGGUCAGGUAAGUGGGAUGUGAAAGCCCUCGGCUCACCCGAGGAUCUGCAUCUCAAACUGCCUGGCUUGAGUAUGGGAGAGGAUGAGGGAAUUCCUGGUGUAGCGGUGAAAUGCGUAGAUAUCAGGAAGAACACCCGUGGCGAAGGCGGCUCUCUGGGACGGUACUGACGCUGAGACGCGAAAGCGUGGGGAGCGAACAGG
rnacentral:rRNA from 1 species